rnacentral:rRNA from 1 species
UGGGGAAUUUUGGACAAUGGGCGCAAGCCUGAUCCAGCCAUGCCGCGUGCGGGAAGAAGGCCUUCGGGUUGUAAACCGCUUUUGUCAGGGAAGAAAUCUUCUGGGCUAAUACCCCGGGAGGAUGACGGUACCUGAAGAAUAAGCACCGGCUAACUACGUGCCAGCAGCCGCGGUAAUACGUAGGGUGCGAGCGUUAAUCGGAAUUACUGGGCGUAAAGCGUGCGCAGGCGGUUUUGUAAGACAGAGGUGAAAUCCCCGGGCUCAACCUGGGAACUGCCUUUGUGACUGCAAGGCUUGAGUGCGGCAGAGGGGGAUGGAAUUCCGCGUGUAGCAGUGAAAUGCGUAGAUAUGCGGAGGAACACCGAUGGCGAAGGCAAUCCCCUGGGCCUGCACUGACGCUCAUGCACGAAAGCGUGGGGAGCAAACAG